rnacentral:rRNA from 1 species
AAGGAUGGGUCUGCGGCCUAUCAGGUUGUAGUGGGUGUAGCGUACCUACUAGCCUACGACGGGUACGGGUUGUGAGAGCAAGAGCCCGGAGAUGGAUUCUGAGACACGAAUCCAGGCCCUACGGGGUGCAGCAGGCGCGAAAACUUUGCAAUGCCGGCAACGGCGAUAAGGGAACCUCGAGUGCCAGGUCACAAAUCUGGCUGUCGUGAUGCCUAAAAAGCAUUGCAUAGCAAGGGCCGGGCAAGACCGGUGCCAGCCGCCGCGGUAACACCGGCGGCUCGAGUGGUAACCGUUAUUAUUGGGUCUAAAGGGUCUGUAGCCGGCCGGAUAAGUCUCUUGGGAAAUCCAGCAGCUCAACUGUUGGGCUUUCAGGAGAUACUGUCUGGCUCGAGGCCGGGAGAGGUGAGAGGUACUUCAGGGGUAGGGGUGAAAUCUUGUAAUCCUUGAAGGACCACCAGUGGCGAAGGCGUCUCACCAGAACGGACCUGACGGCAAGGGACGAAAGCUAGGGGCACGAACCGGAUUAGAUACCCGGGUAGUCCUAGCCGUAAACGAUACUCGCUAGGUGUCGGCCACGGUGCGACCGUGGUCGGUGCCGUAGGGAAGCCGUGAAGCGAGCCACCUGGGAAGUACGGCCGCAAGGCUGAAACUUAAAGGAAUUGGCGGGGGAGCACCACAACGGGUGGAGCUUGCGGUUUAAUUGGAUUCAACGCCGGAAAUCUUACCGGGACCGACAGCAAGAUGAAGGCCAGGCUGAAGACUUUGCCGGAUUAGCUGAGAGGUGGUGCAUGGCCAUCCUCAGUUCGUACUGCGAAGCAUCCUGUUAAGUCAGGCAACGAGCGAGACCCACGCCCACAGUUGCCAGCGUACUCUCCGGAGUGACGGGUACACUGUGGGGACCGCCGCUGCUAAAGCGGAGGAAGGAAUGGGCAACGGUAGGUCAGUAUGCCCCGAAUAUCCCGGGCUACACGCGAGCUACAAUGGUUGGUACAAUGGGUAUCUACCCCGAAAGGGGAUGGGAACCUCCUAAAGCCAAUCUUAGUUCGGAUUGAGGGCUGCAACUCGCCCUCAUGAAGCUGGAAUCCGUAGUAAUCGCGUUUCAACAGAACGCGGUGAAUACGUCCCUGCUCCUUGCACACACCGCCCGUCAAACCACCCGAGUAGGGUCUGAAUGAGAGCGCUUCCGACGGAGGCGUUCGAAUUUAGGCUUUGCAAGGGGGG